AGAGAAUUGACAGAGUGGUUGAUUGUACUGAAUUGCUAAUUCAAGGUUUUAAAUAUUAUUAUUUUUAACCAAGGGUUCGAAUCCCUUAUUCUCCA